rnacentral:rRNA from 1 species
AUACAGAGGGUGCGAGCGUUAAUCGGAGUUACUGGGCGUAAAGGGCGCGUAGGCGGAUGAUUAAGUCAGUUGUGAAAUCCCAGGGCUUAACCUUGGAACUGCAAUUGAUACUGAUUGACUAGAGUCGAAGAGAGGGAAGCGGAAUUUCCGGUGUGGCGGUGAAAUGCGUAGAUAUCGGAAGGAACGCCCGUGGCGAAGGCGGCUUCCUGGCUUCAGACUGACGCUGAGGUGCGAAAGCGUGGGGAGCGAACAGGAUUAGAUACCCCAGUAGUCC